rnacentral:misc_RNA from 1 species
AUGAUGAUGAAUUAGACAUAGCUGUAAAGUUGGUUCAGGUGGACAGAUACAGAACGCGAUUAAAAGAACGAGAACGAAGAAAACGCAUCGCCCGGGAAUACAACCUGAUUCAAGCUGCCGCAUCACUCAUUAAACCCAAAUCUCAAACCCCCAAAAAACGCACAUCAAAAGAUGAAAAAGAAUUCCAAGAGAAGAUGAAAGUCUAUGCUCAGUUCCAAUCCUCAGCCGAGCAUGAAGAAUUUCUAGAGAAAUGUCAAGAAGAGAAAGAGCUGAAGGCUAGAAUCACUGAACUUUGGAAAUACAGAGAGAGUGGAAUUACCAAAAUGGAUGAAGUGGAUGAUUAUGAAGAUGAACUUUACAAGCGAGAGAAAAAGAGAGAAAAUAAGAAGAAAUUGUUCCUCCCCAAUAAAGAGGGUGUCAAUGGUCUCAAAAAAAGCCGCCGGCGGUAUCGAAGAAAAAUUAGAUAUACUCAUCGACGACGAAGGGCUAAAAGAUGAAGGGGAUGAAAAUGAGAUGAAGGACAUGUCCAUACUGCCAAGUUAUGGCAUGCUUUCAGAGCGAGAGAAGAAGCUCUGUAAUUCCAUUGGGAUGACCCCCGCCAACUAUAUGACCAUCAAGACCUGUAUAAUCAAGGAUUACUUACAGCGUCGUCAAGGUAUACCAGUAAAGAUCCGCUACCCCAGUGGGCUGGAUAAAACCCACCGGCGGAAAAUUAUGAGCUUCCUGACAGACAAUGGGUGGAUAAUGGCGGUGUGAGGAUAGGACCACAUCAAUAAGCGAACUGCACCACCGGAGGAAAUAUCACACGUGAGAGUCCCACCACCAAAGUAACGCACACAGAACAGCUGAGCUCAUUGAUUGAGAUAUUCCAGUUUAUUGUACAUUGUGGGAGACAAGAAUUCCAUUUACAGAUAACUGAUUGUUGAAGACAGGAUGGUAUCUAGAGUUCUGACUUAGAUUGAUUUAAGUAAAUUGUAGUCAGAAAAAGGGGAGAGAAUUGUGUGAAAGGAUGUGUGCUGAAGAAAAUAUUCUGUGUAACAGAAAUUUAUACAUGUAUCUUCAUUAGACAAUGUACAAAACGAUUAAGUCUGUGUUGACCAUAGGAGACUUUAACUUUGUGUAAGACAUUUUGAGAAUUUGUAAGCUAAGCAUGGAGAGCUUGAACAGGUCAAUCCUAUGCUGUAAUUGAUGGACUGUAUAGGUGUAUUGUACUGACGUACUGUACAUACAUACCUAUACCACUUGUAUUAUUUCCACUCUUAAGUUUUAUCAUUUUUCCGUCCAGGAAAUAGAUUCUUACUUGUAACUGCAUUUCUUUUGUGUUCAGUUUUUGAUAAUUUUGUGCAAUUCAGUUGGAACUUGGAAUCAAGAACUGAUAUUGUAUCAAAUUUCUGAUCUUCUGAAUUUUUGCAAUGAAUGUUAAAUGGUCGUUUCAUUAUUACAUUGAGUGUUACUGAUUACAUUUUUUUCACAGAAUAAUUGUAGCAUCUGGAUGAGAGACAGAGUAGAUGAUUUUAUUCACUAUCAAUACAGAUUUUAUCAUUGUAUAAAUGGUUUUAUAUGGGUGUGUUUUUUAUUAGUAAUUUGUGUAAUUUAUUUUGUAUGGAUUUUGUAUGGUUGAUGUAGAAUAUUUUGAGAUUUCACUGAAAGAUUGAUGAGUGAGAUCUCAUCAGAUGAGAUUUAAUUUGUUCACAAUGAACGUUUGCUUGAUUAAAUUCUAUCAAAAC